UGCUGAUGUUACAAAACUAGAAACUUAUUGCGGCUUUUCAGUGAUGAAAUAUAUUUGGAAUGCCCCAAGAAGUUUCUUAUUUUGAACAUUAAACUUUGGGAGACGGAAAAAGGAUGUGCUGAAAGAAAUCGUGUUCGGACAAGACAAAUUCUCAACAGGACUUAAUAUACGCAAAUGGAACCAUUUUUAGGAAGCGAUUAUCAAGGAAAAAGUGCCGGUAUAUGACCUGCCAUUAUAUACAGUGUAGGUAACCAUAAGGACUGGUAUGUUCAGGAUCAUCUCCACUAUAUCAGUCUAGUUUUGGAUCAUCUCACAGGAUUAUCUCACAUUCCAGUCUAGUUUUGGAUCAUCUCACCUGAUCAUCUCCCACUAUGUCAGUCUAGUUUUGGAUCAUCUCACAGGAUUAUCUACCACUGUAUCAGUCUAGGUUUGGAUCAUAUCACAGGAUCAUCUCCUACUAUAUCAGUCUAGUUUUGGAUCAUCUCACGGGAUCAUCUCCCGCUAUAUCAGUCUAGGUUUUGAUCAUCUCACAGGAUCAUCUCCCACUAUAUCAGUCUAGUUUUUGAUCAUCUCACUCAGUCUAGUUUUGGAUCAUCCCACAGGAUCUACUCACACUAUAUCAAUCAUCUCACACUAUGACCGGACAGAAAGUCUUAUGUUUGGUGCCAAAUGCGGGAAUGUAGUAGAUGAUUUUAAGUUAUUCUGAAAUUCAUUAGUUAUCUCUUCAGAAUGAAUUGAAAUUCAUGGAAAUUACCUUGCAAUUAUGGACAGUUAAGAACAACGAUUGAUUAGACCGUAAAUGUUGAAAUUUAUGAAACCCGCUCUGAUUGCAACAAAAUAUUGCUUUUCCCGCCGGAAUAUGACGACUCUGUGAAAUCGUGCUGCGCGAUCGACGGUUCUGUAAAAUAUGGACAACUAAGUAGUUUUCUAUCUAUUAAACAACUUUAUCCAGCAAUGAAUGGUGAAAGUGACAGAACAUCGCAGUAU
rnacentral:lncRNA from 1 species